rnacentral:rRNA from 1 species
AGGACGAACGCUGGCGGCGUGCUUAACACAUGCAAGUCGAGCGGAAAGGCCCUUCGGGGUACUCGAGCGGCGAACGGGUGAGUAACACGUGAGUAAUCUGCCCCUAGCUCUGGGAUAGCUCCGGGAAACCGGGAUUAAUACCAGAUACGACCACUUUAGACAUCUGUUGUGGUGGAAAGAAUUUUGGCUAGGGAUGAGCUCGCGGCCUAUCAGCUUGUUGGUGAGGUAACGGCUCACCAAGGCGACGACGGGUAGCCGGCCUGAGAGGGCGACCGGCCACACUGGGACUGAGACACGGCCCAGACUCCUACGGGAGGCAGCAGUGGGGAAUAUUGCGCAAUGGGCGAAAGCCUGACGCAGCGACGCCGCGUGGGGAUGAAGGCCUUCGGGUUGUAAACCCCUUUCAGCAGGGACGAAGCGAAAGUGACGGUACUGCAGAGAAGCGCCGGCUAACUACGCGCCAGCAGCCGC